GAAACAGGUGAUGAAGCCACCGCGGCCGGGGGGAGCGGGGGGGGGGGGGGGGAGUGGUGCCUGCUUUUUGGAAAACGCGAAUCAACUGUGGUCCAUAGUCGUUUCAGCCCUUUGACCACUGACCGGAAGAAGAGCAAGUGACAGAGGCUCGUCUUCAGCUCUGGGGACGGACCGCCUGAGCGUGCGGAAAGAGGGAGCGUUGGCAAAAUGGAGGUGGAAGGGGACAGGGCGAGCUCACGUGAAUGUGUGUUCCAGCACAGGGCAGGCUACUUCCUGGUUUUAGGGGACAGUUUUGCCGGAGUUGCACAUGGGGACAGCCUUCCCCUGAGGAUGGUGUGCGCGGUUACCGUGGGGACCCCGAGAGAGACCCCAUUCACGAGAGUAACACGUGCAAGUAAUGCACCUAGGAGGCGUGGUCCCUUGUGUUUUCUGCCGUAAGAUGGACUUGGGAUGCGGACCAAGCCUCCCAGUAGAAAAAAGCGAACAUUACUGAAUAACGUGGAAGAAAUCUCCGCAAGCAGAUGCGUGAACUGGUGAGGAGAUAAAGACCAUGCGGGUGAUUUGCCGGGUGCAAAGGAGAACAGACAGGGAAGAGGGCAUCGACCCCAGUGUUGUCUUGGGUGGGAUUUGCUGGACUGGGUUCGCCUGAGCCUUGCCUGCCCAGUCAGGUAGAGCUCGAGGGACAGGAAGCGGAACUCUUACCAACCCAAGAAUAGGAGGGAACAUACACAGAGAUUCUCUCAAAACAAAACAGCAGGUGUUUUACUGAGCAGGUAAACAACAGAAGCAUUCUUUUGCUUUAGAUUGGGAAUUAGCCAUAGUAGGCAUUACCCUCACUGCUGAAAAUUACACAAAAGACUGUAGCAAAAGGCGGGAGGGAGAGACAGAGAAAGAAAAGAGAACAAAAGAGAAGGAAGGAAGGAAGGAAGGAAGGAAG